UACGGAGGGUGCGAGCGUUGUCCGGAAUCACUGGGCGUAAAGGGCGCGUAGGCGGCCUGAUAAGUAGGGGGUGAAAUCCUGCGGCUUAACCGCAGGGCUGCCUUCUAAACUGUCGGGCUAGAGCACGGUAGAGGCAGAUGGAAUUCCCGGUGUAGCGGUGGGAUGCGUAGAGAUCGGGAGGAACACCUGUGGCGAAGGCGGCCGUCUGGGCCGACCCUGACGCUGAGGCGCGAAGGCGUGGGGA
rnacentral:rRNA from 1 species